rnacentral:rRNA from 1 species
AGAGCGAACGCUGGCGGCAGGCUUAACACAUGCAAGUCGAGCGGGCGUAGCAAUACGUCAGCGGCAGACGGGUGAGUAACGCGUGGGAACGUACCUUUUGGUUCGGAACAACCCAGGGAAACUUGGGCUAAUACCGGAUAAGCCCUUACGGGGAAAGAUUUAUCGCCGAAAGAUCGGCCCGCGUCUGAUUAGCUAGUUGGUGGGGUAAUGGCCCACCAAGGCGACGAUCAGUAGCUGGUCUGAGAGGAUGAUCAGCCACAUUGGGACUGAGACACGGCCCAAACUCCUACGGGAGGCAGCAGUGGGGAAUAUUGGACAAUGGGCGCAAGCCUGAUCCAGCCAUGCCGCGUGAGUGAUGAAGGCCCUAGGGUUGUAAAGCUCUUUUGUGCGGAAGAUAAUGACGGUACCGCAAGAAUAAGCCCCGGCUAACUUCGUGCCAGCAGCCGC